UNGUAGGCGGCUGGUCGCGUCUGUCGUGAAAUCNUCUGGCUUAACUGGGGGCUUGCGGUGGNUACGGGCCGGCUUGAGUGCGGUAGGGGAGACUGGAACUCCUGGUGUAGCGGUGGAAUGCGCAGAUAUCAGGAAGAACACCGGUGGCGAAGGCGGGUCUCUGGGCCGUUACUGACGCUGAGGAGCGAAAGCGUGGGGAGCGAACAGGAUUAGAUACCCUGGUAGUCCACGCCGUAAACGUUGGGCACUAGGUGUGGGGGGCCUUUUCCGGGUCUUCCGCGCCGUAGCUAACGCAUUAAGUGCCCCGCCUGGGGAGUACGGCCGCAAGGCUAAAACUCAAAGGAAUUGACGGGGGCCCGCACAAGCGGCGGAGCAUGCGGAUUAAUUCGAUGCAACGCGAAGAACCUUACCAAGGCUUGACAUGUGCCGGUCUGCUCCGGAGACGGGGUUUCCUCCCUUGUGGGGGCUGGUUCACAGGUGGUGCAUGGUUGUCGUCAGCUCGUGUCGUGAGAUGUUGGGUUAAGUCCCGCAACGAGCGCAACCCUUGUCUCGUGUUGCCAGCACGUUGUGGUGGGGACUCGCGGGAGACUGCCGGGGUCAACUCGGAGGAAGGUGGGGAUGACGUCAAAUCAUCAUGCCCCUUAUGUCUUGGGCUUCACGCAUGCUACAAUGGCCGGUACAGAGGGCUGCGAUACCGUGAGGUGGAGCGAAUCCCUUAAAGCCGGUCUCAGUUCGGAUCGGUGU
rnacentral:rRNA from 1 species